rnacentral:rRNA from 1 species
GAUGAACGCUGGCGGCGUGCCUAAUACAUGCAAGUCGAGCGAACGGACGAGAAGCUUGCUUUUCUGAUGUUAGCGGCGGACGGGUGAGUAACACGUGGAUAACCUACCUAUAAGACUGGGAUAACUUCGGGAAACCGGAGCUAAUACCGGAUAAUAUUUUGAACCGCAUGGUUCAAAAGUGAAAGACGGUCUUGCUGUCACUUAUAGAUGGAUCCGCGCUGCAUUAGCUAGUUGGUAAGGUAACGGCUUACCAAGGCAACGAUGCAUAGCCGACCUGAGAGGGUGAUAGGCCACACUGGAACUGAGACACGGUCCAGACGCCUACGGGAGGCAGCAGUAGGGAAUCUUCCGCAAUGGGCGAAAGCCUGACGGAGCAACGCCGCGUGAGUGAUGAAGGUCUUCGGAUAGUAAAACUCUGUUAUUAGGGAAGAACAUAUGUGUAAGGAACUGUGCACAUCUUGACGGUACCUAAUCAGAAAGCCACGGCUAACUACGUG